GGUCCAAAUUUGAAGUGGGGUAGAUAAGUAGGAUCAGCCGACCAUACUAAUGUGCUCUACUUCAAGUUUGCGCUC
rnacentral:pre_miRNA from 1 species